GGUUGCGUCCAUGCAACGUCGCUGUCAGGCUGUUAUAUUGUCGAAUGGAGGUCCAACAGCAUAUUAAUUGUCAAUUCUUUCGGUUAAAAUUGAAAACUGUUGAAAUAUUAUAUGUUGUUUUCAUUUUGGCGAUCACUUAUGCACCCUCUGUUUUCACUUUUUUUCAAAACUACGAACUUGUGACGAAAACUAUACAUUUUGAUGUAGACUAUUUGAUACUUAUUCAUUGAAUAUUAAAUUGUAUACAAAAUGCAAAAAAAAAUUCCGGAAAAUUUGUUAUCUUUAAAAAGUUAUUAGCAUUUAAAUGGUGAGCUUUCUCUUGGGCGUUCACAUCUGCUCUCCAGUGUAUGUACAUAAAAUGCCAGUGUUAAGUCCUGGGUCGGUCAUCGAGUUUUCAAUAGAUUGCCCCAUCUUUGCAUCAUUAAGCGUACCCAUAGGACACCGUGAUCCUGAUCGAUAUGCGGCUGUACUACGAGGGCAAGAAAGUUUGGGGCCAUCCCGAAGUGUUCAGGCCCGAACGAUUUAUCAACCAAGCUGGCGAAAUUGUUAAUACGAAAAAUAUUAUUUCCUUCUCAUUCAGUAAUUACGGUGAAGAAAAUUUCUUCCGAAAACGGGCAUGUCCGGGAGAAAUUCACUCCAAAUUUGUAUCCUUCAGUCUCCUGACCUUGAUGUUGCAGCGGUACAAAAUCUCGAGUUUGGAAGGUGAACCUAAGCCAAGAUUAGACUUGAGGCUCGGCUUCUCCAUUAAGCCGUACCCUUUCAAGGCCGUCUUCACUCAGAGAAUACUACAACAAUGAUCAAAUUAUGGAUUGGUGUAAAAUUAAUAAGAGGGCAAAAUUGCUAAAUUUGUAUUAAUUCUGAUGCAUAUUAUGUAAAAUAAAAUUUGAUGAAU